rnacentral:piRNA from 1 species
UCGCAUUGUCAAAAUGAUAAC